UAUUCUUUGUUAUUCACUUCUCCCUUCUUUUUAUCUCUUAUUUUGUUAUUUCAUUGAUCAUUCCUCAAUGAGAAAGGGGGAGAAUGAGAUAGAUAAGGAGGGCAGGAGAGGGCAGGAAGGAAAAGAGGGAACGAAAAGUUAUGA
rnacentral:ribozyme from 1 species